rnacentral:lncRNA from 1 species
GGAUUUCUCCAUCACUGUUGCACAUAAGAAGAGUGGUGAUAGGAAGAGUGGACACAGCAGUGUUCAUACCAGGCACUGUCCUGGAGCCAGUGAUGCCAGAGGGAGCAAGCCUCCUACCCUACAAAACUCAUCUCCUGUGACCUUCUAGCCUGAGUCAAGCUGGGAUCGUCAUUGCUCUGUGUGGGCAAGGUUACAUCACAGCUUGGCAGUCUCUCCCUUUGGACCAGGGUCUGCGGUGCAGGAGAUGGAAGAAGAGAAGACGGCAGCAAUAAAGCAAUUUCUACUGGUUAAAUAGCUUCCUGCCACUGCCUAGGAAUAAGUCAGUGGCCAAAUAAGGGAAUGGACCUUGAAGGAGGGUCGUCGUAAUGCAAUCUAAUGUUUUAGCAAGGGAAAGAAGGUAAAAGGCAAUACCUGUUGGUGCCAUGUUUGCUGUGCUUAGGCCU